GUAGUCAUAUGCUUGUCUCAAAGAUUAAGCCAUGCAUGUCUAAGUAUAAGCAAUUAUACCGCGAAACUGCGAAUGGCUCAUUAAAUCAGUUAUCGUUUAUUUGAUAGUACCUUACUACAUGGAUAACCGUGGUAAUUCUAGAGCUAAUACAUGCUAAAAAUCCCGACUUCGGAAGGGAUGUAUUUAUUAGAUUAAAAACCAAUGCCCUUCGGGGCUCUCUGGUGAUUCAUAAUAACUCCUCGAAUCGCACGGCCUUGCGCCGGCGAUGGUUCAUUCAAAUUUCUGCCCUAUCAACUUUCGACGGCUGGGUCUUGGCCAGCCGUGGUGACAACGGGUAACGGGGAAU
rnacentral:rRNA from 1 species